GCCUGGCACUUAAGCUGUUGCCAUCUUGGUUUUUUGGAGCUAGCCGUGACCAUAUUUGUGCGGCUGCUAACUACAGUGGCCGACGUGACAAUGUGAAUGUCCCUAUAGUCAGUGUUUGGUUUGUCUGUUCUGGGCUACUGUAGCAACAUGGUGGUGCAACGUGGCGUUCUCAGACAAGGGCUGACUCUCUAUGUAGAUAUAAACAGCUCAUCUUAAAGGCCCAGACACAAUAAACCGACGUCAAAGAGCUAGCAGUAACGGAAGCCAACCGUUCUGUUGCCUCACGUCACCUGUAUCCUGGCUAGAAAGUUGCACGUGAACGUCAGCACGUAUGUUCUGCACCUGCAUGAGAGGAAAUAAAUCUCACCAUUAGCAGACGGCAGUCGUCUUUAACCGUUGUUCAAAAAGGGAAACAGGAAGACUGUCUUAACGGGUCCAUGUCAUUGGUUCGACAUCCCAUUAGUCCGACUGUCCGCGGUGCUGAACGGCUCGCAGCGGGCGUAUGGUGCGCCGCGACCGGCUUGAGGCGGAGCAGGCUCACAGCUUAUGUGUUUGUCACUUUCUUUUUCAUUUUAACCCACACCAUGAUCUUUUCCUGACCCUAACCAAGUGGUUUUUGUGCCUAAACCUAACCAGACCUUAACCACAGGGCAUCAUGAUGAUUUCAGAACGGACUUCGGAACAAUGGGUUUAAUAUGGUCGGACCAAUGGGAUGUCGAACCAAUGGGCUGUCGAACCAAUGGGCUGUUCCCGUCUUAACACUAGUUAGCCAGUUAGCACAUUAACAACACAGUCCAUUGUUGAAUUUGCUGUGCGCCAGUGAACAAUGACACAAACCAUCAGGAAAUGCUUCUGCUAAAGAGAAAAACCUUAUGGAACAAGUUUCUUUCAGUCUCACUUCCUCUUGAUUUUUGUUUACUUUCCUCUCUUCUCAUGUGCUGAGCAGAAAUGACACUCAGAGCGAUUUAAUUCACCCACAGGCUCCACACUGCACACCGCAAAAACUUGGGUCAUGGAUUGUCACCAAUGGCCCGACAAUGAUGGACAGCCACCUGUUGGCUUGGUGUGUCAGAGCCAAACAAAAACACAACAAUUCUUAUUUUCAGGUACUCUGCAUCUAUGACAGCCAAUGAGAAUGAGUUUCAUCCUACCUUGCAGUGUGGCCGUCAGUGCAGAUAAAAACACUGUGAACAGACUUGCUCAGCUGAAGACACACUCCUGCCUGACGACGCCUCCAGAUCCUCAGGAGGCAGAAUCACUUCC